GACGAACGCUGGCGGCGUGCUUAACACAUGCAAGUCGAACGGAAAGGCCCUGCUUCUGUCGGGUGCUCGAGUGGCGAACGGGUGAGUAACAAGUGAGUAACCUGCCCUUGACUUUGGGAUAACUUCAGGAAACUGGGGCUAAUACCGGAUAGGAGCUCCUGCUGCAUGGUGGGGGUUGGAAAGUUUCGGCGGUUGGGGAUGGACUCGCGGCUUAUCAGCUUGUUGGUGGGGUAGUGGCUUACCAAGGCUUUGACGGGUAGCCGGCCUGAGAGGGUGACCGGCCACAUUGGGACUGAGAUACGACCCAGACUCCUACGGGAGGCAGCAGUGGGGAAUAUUGCACAAUGGGCGGAAGCCUGAUGCAGCAACGCCGCGUGCGGGAUGUCGGCCUUCGGGUUGUAAACCGCUUUCGCCUGUGACGAAGAGUGAGUGACGGUAAUGGGUAAAGAAGCACCGGCUAACUACGUG
rnacentral:rRNA from 1 species